rnacentral:lncRNA from 1 species
CGGAUGGGGGAUGGGGCAGGAUGGGGCAGGACACCGAUAUGCUAAAUACCUACCAACAGUUGGUUAGGACCCCGUCGGUGCGACCAGGGCAGGACGUGCGGCUCCAGGCUCCAGGAACCAGAACGGGGCUGCUCAAGCUGCUGUCGACCGUCUCUCAGGACAAGCAGGUGAGGGAGGCCCAGUGAGGACACUUCCAGCUGCCUAGAGCCAGGGCUGCCUGGGGAGUGGUGAUGGUGUGCCAAAUCAAGACCUGCAGCAGAGGUCUCAGAGCUCAAGGCAGACAGCAAAGAAGGACCGCAAGCCCAGGGGCCAGAGCAAGAAAGGACAGGGCUCUGAAGAGUCUGAAGAGUAAGCAGCAGUGGGAUGGGUCAGGAGGCUGUUGGGGGUCAGGGCCCUCUGGGGGCUGGCGCCGACCCUGACCCCCACCCUUUCCUUCUUCAGUCACUUCCCGCUUCUUCCUCGGAAACCCUCCUUCCCCUUCCAGUGGGCCUGGGAGAGCAUCGCCACAGAUGUCCGGGCUGUGCUUCAGCCAAGCUCCCCAACCCCUGGCCACCAAGCCCUGCCCAUGCCCUCCUCGUUCUCCCAGCGUCAGUCCAGGCGCAAGUCCACGGCCAACCUCCCAGAGGCC